GUUAGACUCGCGAUCUUUAUCUCGUUACAAAAUUACAGAGCUGAAAUUAUCUACUCCAUUUUAAUCCCUUUCUCAUUCGUCUUCCCUGUCGCCUGUUCUCUAUCAAAUCAAUUUGUGGUUGCAGAUCUUUGACGCCACACAAGAACCAGAAAGAGAGACCCCUCUUUUACAAGCGUUAAUCACAAGUGGGAAGUAGGGAGGAGCCAUGGGCCACCAUCAUCAUCACCACCAUCAUCAUCACCACCACGGCGACAGUCCGUACGAUGAUCCGUUAUUGAGAUGUUGCUGUUGUCCGUGUUUGCUCGUUUCAUCGAUUUUCAUGGGAAUCGGAAGAUGUGUGUUUCUGGCUUGCUAUCCUCUGUUCCGGUGUUUUGGAUUUGACGAAUGGCGCCACCAUCACCAUCAUCAUUGAUACCGCUUAUUUCUUCUCGGAUCUACUUGAUUGCUGAGUCGUUCAUCUUCUUCAGUGUUUGGUUCUCUUUCCUUUAUACUUUACUCUCUGUUCUUUUCUUCAUCUUGAAGCUUUAACCGUUCGUGGAAUUGGAGACUUUGCUGUAAUCAAAGACAUACACAUUGCUAAAAUUUUUCAAUUCGCUGAUGGUGUCUGAUUAAAAUAAUCCUUGGGGUUUCGUA